rnacentral:tRNA from 1 species
CAGGCGGAUUUUGUAGCCACACCACUACUCUGCCAUCAUCACCCAGCAUCCCUCACUGUGACAACACCGUACACACUGUAAAA